GCCUGCCAGAGAAGGUAACAGCCCUGUAAUUGAAACUUCGUUCCCUCCUUCCCUCCCGAGUGGAUCGGCGGGACACGUGAAAUCCCGUCGGAAGCUGGGAGGACCAUCUCCCCAUCUCCCAAGGCUAAAUACUCCCUAGUGACCGAUAGUGAACCAGUACCGUGAGGGAAAGGUGAAAAGCACCCCGGAAGGGGAGUGAAAUAGACCCUGAAACCGUGUGCCUACAAGUAGUCAAAGCACAAUUAUGUGUGAUGGCGUGCCUUUUGUAGAAUGAACCGGCGAGUUGCGAUUUCAUGCAAGGUUAAGUUGAAGAGACGGAGCCGUAGCGAAAAAGCGAGUCUGAAUAGGGCGUAUAAGUAUGAGGUCGCCAGACCCGAAACCAGGUGAUCUACCCAUGUCCAGGGUGAAGGUAAGGUAACACUUACUGGAGGCCCGCCGAACCCACGUACGUUGAAAAGUGCGGGGAUGAGGUGUGGGUAGCGGUGAAAUUCCAAUCGAACCUGGAGAUAGCUGGUUCUCUCCGAAAUAGCUUUAGGGCUAGCCUUGAAGUAGAGUCUUGGAGGUAGAAGCACUGUUUGGACGAGGGGCCCUCACCCCGGGUUACCGAAUUCAGACAAACUCCGAAUGCCAAAGACUUGUUCUUCAGGAGUCAGACUGCGAGUGAUAAGAUCCGUAGUCGAGAGGGAAACAGCCCAGACCGCCAGUUAAGGUCCCCAAGUAUCCGUUAAGUGGAAAAGGAUGUGGAGUUUGCUUAGACAACCAGGAUGUUGGCUUAGAAGCAGCCACCAUUGAAAGAGUGCGUAAUAGCUCACUGGUCGAGUGACUCUGCGCCGCGAAAAUGUACCGGGGCUAAACACGGAUCACCGAAACUGCGGAUUGACACCAUCGGUGUCAGUGGUAGGAGAGCGUUCCAAGGGCUGUGAAGCUAGACCGUAAGGACUAGUGGAGCGCUUGGAAGUGAGAAUGCCGGUAUGAGUAGCGAAAGAAGGGUGAGAAUCCCUUCCACCGAAUGCCUAAGGUUUCCUGAGGAAGGCUCGUCCGCUCAGGGUUAGUCGGGACCUAAGCCGAGGCUGAAAAGCGUAGGCGAUGGAUAACAGGUCGAUAUUCCUUCCUGUACCACCUCCCCGCCGUUUGAGUAAUGGGGGGGGGACGCAGGAGGAUAGGGUAAGCACAGUUUUGGAUUACUGUGUCCAAGCCGUUAGGCUGAAGAGGGGAGGCAAAUCCUUCUCUUUAAAGCGGAGCGGUUAU
rnacentral:ncRNA from 2 species